rnacentral:lncRNA from 1 species
GGCGGGCGAGUGGACGCCGGGACAAGCCGCCAUGAAGCUCAACGUGGAUGGGCUGCUGGUCUACUUCCCGUACGACUACAUCUACCCGGAGCAGUUCUCCUACAUGCUGGAGCUCAAGCGCACGCUCGACGCCAAGGGUCAUGGAGUCCUGGAGAUGCCCUCAGGCACUGGGAAGACAGUGUCCCUGUUGGCCCUGAUCGUGGCCUAUCAACGGGCUUAUCCACUGGAGGUGACCAAACUCAUCUACUGCUCACGGACCGUGCCGGAGAUUGAGAAGGUCAUAGAAGAGCUUCGUAAGCUGCUCAGUUUCUACGAGCAGCAGGAGGGUGAGAAGCUGCCAUUCUUAGGACUGGCUCUGAGCUCGAGAAAGAA